UACGAAGGGGGCUAGCGUUGCUCGGAAUUACUGGGCGUAAAGCGCACGUAGGCGGCUCUUUAAGUCGGGGGUGAAAUCCUGGAGCUCAACUCCAGAACUGCCUCGAUACUGUAGCGCUUGAGUUCGGGAGGAGGUGAGUGGAACUGCGAGUGUAGAGGGUGAAAAUUCGUAGAUAUUCGCAAGAACACCAGUGGCGAAGGCGGCUCACUGGCCCGAUACUGACGCUGAGGUGCGAAAGCGAUGGGGAGCAAACAGG
rnacentral:rRNA from 1 species